ensembl:lncRNA
CCAGGCUGUACUUCAUUCACCAGGUUGUACUUCACCAGGCUGUACUUCAUUCACCAGGCUGUACUUCACCAGGCUGUACUUCAUUCACCAGGCUGUACUUCAUUCACCAGGAUCUACUUCAUUCACCAGGCUGUACUUCACCAGGCCGUACUUCACCAGGAUGUACUUCAUUUACCAGGCUGUACUUCACCAGGCUGUACUUAAUUCACCUGGCUGUACUUCAUUCACCAGGCUGUACUUCAUUCACCAAGAUGUACUUCAUUCACCAGGCUGUACUUCACCAGGCUGUACUUAAUUCACCUGGCUGUACUUCAUUCACCAGGCUGUACUUCAUUCACCAAGAUGUACUUCAUUCACCAGGCUGUACUUCACCAGGCUGUACUUCAUUCACCAGGCUGUACUUCACCAGGCUGUACCUCAUUCACCAGGCUGUACUUCACCAGGCUGUACUUCAUUCACCAG